rnacentral:lncRNA from 1 species
CACAACUGUUGCUAUAAAGAUGUGGUAUGCAAAAGAAAGGACGACAGAAAGUCUGUAGUAGCAGAUAUUUAACGGGAAAAAAUCUCGUAGUCGUUCCAGAUUUCGUAGCCGUAGCGAAUCUAAAGUUCCCUAUUAUCAAUGUAACAACAAACUGUUUCGGAUAAGUUGAUUGUAAUUGCCCCUCCCCCAGCCUCACGCUUCUGACCACUGUACUAGAAUAGGUGUGAAAUUCGCUCGU